GAUGAACGCUGGCGGCGUGCUUAACACAUGCGAGUCGAACGGGAUCCAUCAGGCUUUGCUUGGUGGUGAGAGUGGCGAACGGGUGAGUAAUGCGUGACCGACCUGCCCCAUACACCGGAAUAGCUCCUGGAAAGGGCUGCUAAUACCCCAUGCAGUUGAGAGAGAUUAGAAACUUUCAACUAAAGGAGAAAUCCACUUUAGGAGGGGCCUGCGUCCCAUCAGCUAGUUGGUAGGGUAACGGCCUACCAAGGCGUAGACGGGUAGGGGACCUGAGAGGGUGGCCCCCCACAAUGGAACUGAAACACGGUCCAUACACCUACGGGUGGCAGCAGUAGGGAAUAUUGCACCAUGGGCGAAAGCCUGAUGCAGCAACGCCGCGUGAGUGAAGAAGGCCUUCGGGUCGUAAAACUCUUUUCAAGGGAAAGAGGAAGGACGGUACCCUUGGAAUAAGCAUCGGCUAACUACGUGCCAGCCGCCGCAGUAA
rnacentral:rRNA from 1 species